CGAGCCCGGAGAUAGCUGGUUCUCCCCGAAAUAGCUUUAGGGCUAGCCUCAAGGUGAGAGAUACGGAGGUAGAGCACUGAAUGUCCUAGGGGGUAUUGCACCUACCGAAGACUAUUAAACUCCGAAUGCCGUCAUCUUAUACUUGGGAGUCAGACUGUGGGUGAUAAGAUUCAUAGUCGAAAGGGCAACAGCCCAGAUCGUCAGCUAAGGUCCCUAAAUGUAAGUUAAGUGGUAAAGGAUGUGGGAUUGCACAGACAACCAGGAUGUUGGCUUAGAAGCAGCCACUCAUUCAAAGAGUGCGUAAUAGCUCACUGGUCGAGUGAUCCUGCGCCGAAGAUUUCCGGGGCUAAAACUUACUACCGAAGCUACGGCAUCAGUAAUGAUGGGUAGGGGAGCUUCCCAUACGGGUUGAAGCAUGACCGUAAGGACAUGUGGACAGUAUGGGAGUGAG
rnacentral:rRNA from 1 species